CUACGGGUGGCACCAGUGAGGAAUAUUGCACAAUGGGGGGAACCCUGAUGCAGCAACGCCGCGUGGAGGAUGACGCAUUUCGGUGUGUAAACUCCUUUUAUAUGUCAAGAAAAUGACGGUAGCAUAUGAAUAAGCACCGGCUAACUCCGUGCCAGCAGCCGCGGUAAUACGGAGGGUGCAAGCGUUACUCGGAAUCACUGGGCGUAAAGGACGCGUAGGCGGGUUGGAAAGUCAGGUGUAAAAUCCUACAGCUUAACUGUAGAACUGCACUUGAAACUUCUAAUCUAGAGUAUGGGAGGGGGAGAUGGAAUUAGUGGUGUAGGGGUAAAAUCCGUAGAUAUCACUAGGAAUACCUGAAGCGAAGGCGAUCUCCUGGAACAUUACUGACGCUAAGGCGUGAAAGCGUGGGGAGCAAACAGGAUUAGAUACCCCGGUAGUC
rnacentral:rRNA from 1 species